rnacentral:precursor_RNA from 1 species
GAACCUUCAGAUUUCAGAUUUGAUUAGGGUUUUAGCGUCUUCGGACCAGGCUUCAUUCCCCCCAAUUGUUGCUCCCUGUUUACUCCAUAUUUCUUCCUUCUUUUCAAAUUAGGGUUUCAGAUCCAGUAAUGAACCCUUGUUAAAGGUUUGAUCUCUUACCUUACUUUCUCAGAUUCAUUUACAUGCGUUAUUGAUUGUUUGCAUGGAAAGAAAUAGUUUUCUUUUUUAAAUAGGUCUUUGGGGACCGAUAGAAAAAAAAAGUUUUCAGGUAUUUGCAGAUUGGUGUAAUGAUGAAAGGAUCUGACUUUCUUUCUCCUCUUGGAAUCUGAAAAGUUUCAUCAUGACAAACUUUUUAUACAUGUGUUUGUAUUUUUGAACUUUUCUACAUUGCUAUGAUUUUGCUAUGAUUGUUUCUUUUUGGAUCUUCAUGGUAUUGAAUGAUGAUGACAAUGAUAGUUUUUAUUCA